AUUGAACGCUGGCGGCAGGCCUAACACAUGCAAGUCGAGCGAGAGGCGGACGGGUGAGUAAUGUCUGGGGAACUGCCUGAUGGAGGGGGAUAACUACUGGAAACGGUAGCUCAGACCGCAUACCAUCUGAUGUGCCCAGAUGGGAUGAGGUAGUAGGUGGGGUAAUGGCCCACCUAGGCGACGAUCCCUAGACGGACUGAGAGGAUGACCAGCCACACUGGAACUGAGACACGGUCCAGACUCCUACGGGAGGCAGCAGAGGGGAAUAUUGCACAACGGGCGCAAACCUUAUGCAGCCAGGCCGCGUGUGUGAAGAAGGCCUUCGGGUUGUAAAGUACGUUCAGCGAGGAUGCGUUACUCGCAGAAGAAGCACCGGCUAACUCCGUGCCAGCAGCCGCGGUAAUUC
rnacentral:rRNA from 1 species